GAUGCCUGUCUGCCAGACAAAGUCUCUCCCAUCAGCAAAGGGCAGAUGGACACCCAGGAUGGAAAGGAGCCAUUUGUGAGGCACAAGCAUCAGCCUUUGCUGCCUUGCAGCCAGGGGCUGAUGGAGCUGGUGCUGGUAUACCAGGGGUGGAUGCCCCUGCGGGAUGGCAGCUUCAAAAUCCUUCCUUGCCAUGGAAGAACUCUUUAUCUCUAAGACAGGCCAGCUGCAGCCAAAAGCAAAAUUACUCCAGUGGGGGCCAAGUAUAACACAGGCAACUCUGGCUGGCUUAUCCGUGUAAUCCUCCCUUCGGCCCUCAAAACACUUGAGCAGUAGACAAAGCUAUUGUUUUCCUGUCUAUCUCUCUCUUUCCCUUCCUGAUUUCUUACUUUCCCUCCUGCUGCCUUUCUGUCCUCUCUUUCUCUUACCUUACCUCACUACCAUCUUCUCUCUGUUUUUGUCAACAGUUAUCACAAACCUGAAGUGUGUCAGACCCUGUCUUGGACAGACGUGGAGUAUUAACUGGUGUCUAGGAUGGGUCUCUUACUUAUGGAAAAAGGAGUAAAGCCCCACCCUUUCCUUUUGGGAGGAGGUCUUAGGUUGCAGCUUGUGGGUGAGGGGCAUUGAAGAGUAAAGAAAUGUUGCUGGUAUGAUGAGUAAAACCUCAGAACACAUUUCUUAUAGCAACAGAAUUAUAAACAAGAGUUGCUUGUAGUUAAAAUACUACUAGUAUCUCUUCAAGUAUUUAGGGGUCAAAUAAGAUUUUAUGGAUCAGUCUGGAAAUCCAAUCAGCAUCUUAGGUGAAAGGAUUCUGAUUCUAAACUUUUAGACACUAUCUCACAUGCACUGAGAGCUGUAUCUAGUGUUCUUCCAUUUCCUCUCUCUGUGCUUCUCAGGGCCACUUAGACUUCCUUCAUCCCCAGAACCAAAGGGACCAGAAACUUAGAAGAUGUCACAAUUUUAUCUGCUACUGACCCUGCAGGCAGGGCUGCCUGGUGGUGAAACAAUAUGUUACGUAACAGAGUCGAGACAGGUUUGUGUCGGAUGGAUGCAGGCUCCAACCCUGUGCUGCACUACCUGGCUGCCCAAUCUCCCUCAACGAGCCUCAGUUUUUCACCUGUAAAGUGGGGAUAAUGCAUCCACAUCUCAGGAUCAUUGCGAAGAGUGAGGACAUCACAUAUAAAAAACUGGCCCACAGAAAGCAUGGAGUAAAUGCCAGCUGUUACAGCAGCUUCUGUAGGAAGGCAGAGCCUGCCUUGCAGCCACUCCACUGGCAAACGUGUCAAUAGGAAGAGUGAGAAGUGAGCAAUGCCUCCUGAGCUGAUGCCUACAGAAGAGCUGUGACAAUCUGCCUCUAGAACAACCUCAGCAAGCUGCCUGGCCCAGGGGAAAUCCAACCGUGGUGACUUUGCCCAGAUUCUGCAAGAUGCUUUCUAAUUGUUGGUGUUCACGAGGGACAAGCAACAGCUGAGCUCAUUCCCUUCCCAUCAGUUUGCAACAUCUGCCCCAGCCCUUACUGACAGUAGAGAAAAAUAAGGACUUUCCGAUCACACCUUUAGGCCACCAAUCUUCAAUGAGUUACUGGGCCCUUCCAGAAAUCAGAUUUUCUAACUGGUCCCUGCAUUGGCUCCAGCAGCUUUGGAGUGUGAGUGCUGUCUCUUUGGAGAGAUUGUGGGCUCCUUGAGGGCUCUGUCUUUUUGUUCUGUGUAGCCCCAGCACAUAGUAGGGGAAGACACACAGGAAAUCCAAAAGCAUGGGAAGACCCUGGGCUGAGGGAGCAGAGGCUGAAACUCUGGGAAAAGCUGUGAGGACCACAAAAGUGGUUGGGCCCCUAAUGGCCUCGAGACCCGGGGUACAACAAACCCCACAGGAGGCCCAAUGACAUCCCCUGUCCUAACUCAGCUCAGGAAGAGGCAGCUGCCAUGGUUUAAAGAAUGUGGGUUUUUAGGGUAGAUAGACCCCACAUCUGCUUCAUACCUUGCUGCAUGAUUUAUUUCCCUUCUCUGAGCCUUAGUUUCCUCAUUACAAAAAUGUAAAUAAAAAUAUCUUCUUUACAUG